rnacentral:rRNA from 1 species
GCAAGUCGAACGGUAACAUAGCUAGCUUGCUAGCUGAUGACGAAUGGCGGACGGGUGAGUAAUGCAUAGGGAACUGCCAAGUAGAGGGGGACAACAUGUGGAAACGCAUGCUAAUACCGCAUACGCCCUACGGGGGAAAGAUGGCCUCUUCUUGAAAGCUAUCACUAUUUGAUGUACCUAUGUCUGAUUAGCUAGUUGGUGAGGUAAAGGCUCACCAAGGCGACGAUCAGUAGCUGGUCUGAGAGGAUGAUC